GACGAACGCUGGCGGCGUGCUUAACACAUGCAAGUCGAACGGAAAGGCCCUUCGGGGUACUCGAGUGGCGAACGGGUGAGUAACACGUUGGUGAUCUGCCCUGCACUUUGGGAUAAGCCUGGGAAACUGGGUCUAAUACCGAAUAGGACCACGCGCUUCAUGGUGUGUGGUGGAAAGCUUUUGCGGUGUGGGAUGGGCCCGCGGCCUAUCAGCUUGUUGGUGGGGUAAUGGCCUACCAAGGCGACGACGGGUAGCCGGCCUGAGAGGGUGACCGGCCACACUGGGACUGAGAUACGGCCCAGACUCCUACGGGAGGCAGCAGUGGGGAAUAUUGCACAAUGGGCGCAAGCCUGAUGCAGCGACGCCGCGUGAGGGAUGACGGCCUUCGGGUUGUAAACCUCUUUCAAUAGGGACGAAGCGCAAGUGACGGUACCUAUAGAAGAAGCACCGGCCAACUACGUG
rnacentral:rRNA from 1 species